CGGGACGUAGCGCAGUCUGGAAGCGCACCUGAAUGGGGUUCAGGGGGCCCGGGGUUCAAAUUCCCCGCGUCCCGACCA
rnacentral:tRNA from 1 species